AACGUUUUACAAAACUGGGAGCUGUGUUUUAAAGGCAAGACUGCAAGAUGCUGUGCUGAUGUCAGUUUAAGGAAGUGACAGGCAUUCAGCACUCUUCAGAAUCAUUUUCUAAGCUUACUGGUUCUGAAAAAAAAAAAAUCAGAGAGGCAGGGCAAUGGGCACAAGUGGCACAAUGGUGCACCAGGGGAGGAAAACCUUCAGAACAGCUGUGGUCAAACAUUGUAGGAAGUCACACGGAGAACCUGGGCUUCCUCUGCUCUUGAAGAUAAGCAAAUUUGCCUGAGCAUCCUGACUUAGUACCAGGGGUGCCUUCCACUAGAACAGGCUGCUCAGAGCCCAGUCUAGCAUUUCCUUGAACAUUUCCAGGGCAUCCACAGCCUCUCUGAGCAACUUGUUACAGUGCCUCACCAUCCUCACAGUAAUAACAGCCUACCCUCUUUUAUUUUAAAGCCAAUCUCCCUUGUCUUGUCACUACAUGUCCUUGUUAAAAGACUCUCUCCAGCUUUUUUACAGGCCCUCUUCAGGUACUGGAAGGCUUCUAAAGGGUCUUCCCAAAGCCUUCUCUUCUGCAGGCUGAAGAACCCAAAUUCUCUGUCUUCUCUCAGUCUGUCUUAACAGGAGAGGUGCACCAGUCCUGUGAUUGUUUUGGUGGCCUUCUCUGGACUUGUUCCAACAGGUUCAUCUCUUUUUUGUGUUGGAAACUCCACAGCUGAACACAGUACUCUGGGUGGGGUUUGGGGUUUUUUGGUUUUGUUUUUGUUUUUUUUUAACAGGUAUUUAUGAUACAAGAACUUUUAAAGAGGCAAUGCAAAGAAUAACUUAACUAUUUGCAGCAAAUUAAACACAAGUUUCUGCUGCCCAACAUCUUCAUGAAUUAAGCAUUAACAAGUUGAUGAAAUACUUUCUUCUCAUUCUUCUAUAUACAGAAUAUAUCUGCCUUACCAUGUAAACAGGAAGCCAAGUCUGAAAGCACUAGCAUCCUGGGGAUUAGAGAUACAGACUUAUCUAUAGUCUCCAAAAGGAAGGCAACAGAGUGCCUAUUGGAAGCAGAAUUUCCUUCAUCCGUAGACGGCUAAAAUGGCACUUCUUGUGCAGCAGAGCUAAAAAAAGGUCUCCAUCUCCAGAGUGUAUUACCCUGAGGCCACAACAGUCUUUGGGAAAGCUGCAUCAUGGUGAAAGGCUACUUCAGCUUCUCCUUCUUUCAUAAAUUUCUCUGCAAGUUUGUCCUUGUAUUGUUGUAUUAUUCUUGUAUUGUAGAAUCAUCUCCACACAAUUUCCGAUUGUGGCUCACUUGAGAGCUAACUCACAAUUGGAGUUUCUGUGUAAGCAGCUGCUUAAUUCUCAUCUUUUUAUUCCCAGGAAAAUUAAUGCUAUCACUGCUUCAUUGAAAACAUGCAUAAUCAAUAUCUUUUGUUAUUUGCUUAGGUAUUCCAGGUUUGGAGCAAUACUCAAGGUCUCUUUAGUGGCACCUGGUGUUUUUUAUGUGGAACACCAGCAAUAGUUUGCAAACUGCAUUUUGUAUUAUUAGGAAAAAACUAGGAGCUGAAGCUGGAUUUAGAAUUUCCACUGCUCUGUAGUUAUUGUGGAGAAAUCUUUUGAGCAUUUGCAUCUGCUUUCAGCACGAGUAGUGCUUUGAUAUUGGGAUGAUGACAUGUACAAAAUAGUAUCAGGUGCCUUUGCACCCUUUGUACUGCCAGAGGUGCUCAGAUACUGACAUUUCUUUUCCUGGUUGGCGUCAGUUAUGAAACAGGUAUCCCGGUAUGUCUUCCUGUAGACCUGUAGCUGUAUGAGUUUCCUCCAGCACUUUUCUUUUUGUCUGCUGUCCAGAAUUUCUGUUGUUGUCUUUACUCGUUUUCAACGCUGCACCUUAUUACCUAUGUUGCCCACCAGGGCUGUGUUAGGACUAUGACUGAGGGAGUCCCACGUUAGGUGUCUAUAUGGGAAGCUCUGAAGAACCAGCGUGGCAAGGGGCAUGUGGGGUACUGUGAGUUUCUGGGAGCCCCACAGUCUAGUGCAGGAUGAGACUCAGCCCAGGAUGGUGCUGUGCCACAAGUACUUCAUGACUUCAUGGCCUGAGUUAACUACUCUUAGGAGAUGGCCCUGAGUAUAGGUGCACUGAGUAGUGUAAGAAUGUUGGCUGAGGUACAGAAAGCUCUGUGGUGUUUAAGACAGUAGCGUGAGCUGGCAGUGCGCUUCUCUUUUGUAGCAGGGUAGGGGGUUGGAUGAAAAGCUGGAUGUGAUCCAGUGGUGUGUGAUCGCAGCCCUGAAAACUGAAUCCUGGACUGUAUUAAAAGCAGCAGGGCCAGCAGAUCAAGGGAAGUGAUUCUUCCCCUCUCCCCUCAUGAGACCCUGCCUGAAGUGCUGCAUCCAGUGUGGAGUCCUCAGCACAAGAAAGGCAUGCACCUGUUUGAAUGGGUCCAGAGGAGGGACAUAAAGGUGAUCAAAGGGCUAGAGCAUCUCCUACAGGACAGGCUGAGAGAGCUGAGGCUGUGCAGCCUGAAGAAGAGAAGGCUUUGGGAAGAUCUAAUUGUGGCCUUCUGAUGUCUAAAGUGGGUUCAGUACCUUAAGGGGGUUUAUAAAAUGUAGGGAAGGAGUUUCCAUACUAAGAGAUGGUGACAGGACAAGGGGCAAUGGUUCUAAACUGAAGGAAGGCAGGUUUGGAUUAGAUGUUAGGAAGAAACUCUUUAAGGGUGGUGAAGCAUUAGAACUGGCUGCCCAGUGAACCUGUGGAUGCCCAAUUCCUGCAAGUGUUCAGGGUUAGGUUGGAUGGGUCAAGUACAAGACUAACAGAAUCUUGACUAAAAUUCAAACUAAAAUUAAAACAGAGUACUUAAAAUUAGAGAGGUAAACAGCAAGUGAUAGCUGGGUUUUAGAUUUUGUGAACAUAAAUACAGUGUACCUGAAUGAUGCAAGUUCUGACUUGAGAAGCUGUGGUCCUUUAAUGCCUCUGGACAUUCAGUUGCUUCUUUAUUUGCAUAAUAAAUAAUAUAUCUAUAUUUGUAUAUAUACAUAAUAUAUAUGAUCUUAAAAAAACUGAAAUUAAUUUUGUAGGGCUCUGGGAAAUGUUUAGCGUAAGGUUGCCUUUCAAAAGAAAAAAUAAUUGAUUUUGUCUU